GUGAUUGGGUGAAUGGCUGCUCUCAUAAGAUAGACAUCAGUGAUUGGGUGAAUGGCUGCUCUCACUAAGAACAUUAGACAUCAGUGAUUGGGUGAAUGGCUGCUCUCACUAAGAUAGACAUCAGUGAUUGGUGAAUGGCUGCUCUCACUAUGAACAUUAGACAUCAGUGAUUGGGUGAAUGGCUGCUCUCACUAAGAUAGGCAUCAGUGAUUGGGUGAAUGGCUGCUCUCACUAUGAACAUUAAGCAUCAGUGAUUGGGUGAAUGGCUGCUCUCACUAAGAACAUUAGGCAUCAGUGAUUGGGUGAAUGGCUGCUCUCACUAAGAACAUAGACAUCAGUGAUUGGGUGAAUGGCUGCUCUCACUAAGAACAUUAGACAUCAGUGAUUGGGUGAAUGGCUGCUCUCACUAAGAACAUUAGACAUCAGUGAUUGGGUGAAUGGCUGCUCUCACUAAGAACCUUAGACAUCAGUGAUUGGGUGAAUGGCUGCUCUCACUAAGAACCUUAGACAUCAGUGAUUGGGUGAAUGGCUGCUCUCACUAUGAACAUUAGACAUCAGUGAUUGGGUGAAUGGCUGCUCUCACUAAGAACAUUAGACAUCAGUGAUUGGGUGAAUGGCUGCUCUCACUAAGAACAUUAGACAUCAGUGAUUGGGUGAAUGGCUGCUCUCACUAUGAACAUUAGACAUCAGUGAUUGGGUGAAUGGCUGCUCUCACUAAGAUAGGCAUCAGUGAUUGGGUGAAUGGCUGCUCUCACUAAGAACAUUAGACAUCAGUGAUUGGGUGAAUGGCUGCUCUCACUAUGAACAUUAGGCAUCAGUGAUUGGGUGAAUGGCUGCUCUCACUAAGAACCUUAGACAUCAGUGAUUGGGUGAAUGGCUGCUCUCACUAAGAACAUUAGACAUCAGUGAUUGGGUGAAUGGCUGCUCUCACUAAGAACCUUAGACAUCAGUGAUUGGGUGAAUGGCUGCUCUCACUAAGAACCUUAGACAUCAGUGAUUGGGUGAAUGGCUGCUCUCACUAAGAACCUUAGACAUCAGUGAUUGGGUGAAUGGCUGCUCUCACUAAGAACAUUAGACAUCAGUGAUUGGGUGAAUGGCUGCUCUCACUAUGAACAUUAGACAUCAGUGAUUGGGUGAAUGGCUGCUCUCACUAAGAACAUUAGACAUCAGUGAUUGGGUGACCCACUGCAAUGCAUGAGGUUUUCGUGGUGUGUUUGUUUUACACAUUUCUACUCCACCACCUAGUUUCACUUUAGUCCUGUAAUGAAUGAUUGGUUCUGUCAUACUAGGAAAGGCUUGUGUUGUUUGGUUAAGCAAGAACUUAGAGAAAUGCACAUUACAAUGAGUCAUUUAAUACUUCAGCUGUUUUUGGUUCCACUUUACUGACAGCAUCCAGGUUAAAACACAUGAUAAGGUGUUAUUAGCAUGAGCCUUUUAUAAUGUCUUAUCAGGCUUCUAAAAAUGCUUAUCCUGUAUUAAUACCAGUGUGUUUUAAACAGACACAAUGACCAGAAAGAGCUGGAAAUCCAGUCACUAUUGGACUUCUUAAAUGUGCCAUGUUAUGAAUGUUGAAACAUUUUGCCUUAAUAACUUUUUGAUUUUUUUCUGCACGUCUUCUUUUCAGUUGGUGGUCGUUUUUAAUAUUUGAAUAUCUUCUCCUUAAUUAAAGGGUUCACUAUGCAAUCCACUUCCUGAUCUGAUCUGUCUUACUAUAUUAACCUUCUGCUGCUUAUUUUACAGACGGGUCAUCUCUUUUUCUCUUCUUGACAAUCAGUGUUUUCUUGAUACACAAAAGGUCUGUGUUUCCAAAUGGUAGUGCACUACUUUGGACCAGGGCCCAGUGGUGGUGGGGGGGAAUAUCACUAUAUAGGGAAUAGAAUGCCAUUUGGGACGCUACAGAGAUCUGAACAGCACAAUGACCUGACGGCAGUACGGAUAGAGAUACAACCUGCCACGUACUCUCUGCUUCGUAGAAGGUUUUACUGAUGGUAAUGAAUCUAUGACUUUUUGAUUAAAAAUAUAAAAAUAUUUAAAAAAUCUGUUUUAUUUUUACCAAUCAGUCAGCAGCUCAUUUUAAAGGGAUUCAUUCAUCUACAGAUCAUUAUGUUCAUGAAAUAAUCUAUGUACAUUAAAUGAUCUAGAUUACACUCUGGGCUCACGAAGUGACUAUAUAAAGGCUCUAAUAGCAGUUUGUGUAAAUACAUUUUAUAAAAUACAUUGUGUGGAUGAAUGAAUGUCAGGAUAAUGAAAAUAAAUAAGCUCACGUCUGGCAUCACGUCUGUGUUGUGCAAUGCAGCUAAAGUUCAUAUAUAAAGUUCAAAUGUAAAGUUCAUAUGUAAAGUUCAUAUGUGUUUUAAUAAACAUACUGGUUUGGUUCAACAUGUA
ensembl:lncRNA